AUGGCGGCACAAGAGAGCGGCAGGAGUGCAGCCUCGGCCACCGCCACCAUGACGGUGUGCCGUGGCCGCCGCUUCCUCGGCGUCCGGCAGAGGCCGUCGGGCCGCUGGGUGGCCGAGAUCAAGGACUCGGUGCAGCGCGUACGCCUGUGGCUCGGCACCUUCGACACCGCCGAGGACGCGGCGUGCGCCUACGACGAGGCGGCACGCGCGCUGCGCGGGGACAACACGCGCACCAACUUCGCCGCCCGGCACGGCGCCGCGGCGAGGGCCAGGCUGAGCAAGAACCUGCAGCAUGUCAUGGCCAGGGCGGCCGCCGGCAGGUCGCCGUCGGCGCGCGGCGCCGGGGUGGGCGACCAGUUCGCGCUCGCCGCGGUGUUCCGGGACUGGCAGCAGCCGGCGGUCUCACCGCAGCUGCCCCUGGGCUGCCGCGCCGAGGCGGAGACCGCGCACGUGGCGGCCAGCGCGGUGCAGCCGAGCUUCGUCGUGCCGAGGCGGACGGAGGCGCCGCCGUCGGAUACCGCCGGAGGAGCUGGCGACGAUGCUUGGGCCGCGGACGUCUUGGAGUUGGACGGCGGCGGGGAGACGAACGCAGAGAAGGCGUUCAAGGUGUCGUCGUCCGUGAUCGUGCCGUCCAAGUUCGGUGCAGCGCCGGAGUCGUUUGGCCUCGACGGUUUCUAG
rnacentral:rRNA from 1 species